AAUGCAGUCGACGCGUCUCCGUUGAUGAUUUUAGGUGCUUGCACCUGAAAGAUUUAACAUUGAGACGAGUGGCGAACUGGUGAGUAACACGUGGGUAACCUGCCCUUGAAGUAGGGGAUAACACUUGGAAACAGGUGCUAAUACCGUAUAACAACCAAAACCACCUGGUUUUGGUUUAAAAGACGGCUUCGGCUGUCACUUUAGGAUGGACCCGCGGCGUAUUAGCUUGUUGGUAAGGUAACGGCCUACCAAGGCGAUGAUACGUAGCCGACCUGAGAGGGUAAUCGGCCACAUUGGGACUGAGACACGGCCCAAACUCCUACGGGAGGCAGCAGUAGGGAAUCUUCCACAAUGGACGAAAGUCUGAUGGAGCAACGCCGCGUGAGUGAUGAAGGGUUUCGGCUCGUAAAACUCUGUUGUUGGAGAAGAACAGGUGUCAGAGUAACUGUUGACAUCUUGACGGUAUCCAACCAGAAAGCCACGGCUAACUACGUGCCAGCAGCCGCGGUAAUACGUAGGUGGCAAGCGUUGUCCGGAUUUAUUGGGCGUAAAGCGAGCGCAGGCGGUUUUUUAGGUCUGAUGUGAAAGCCUUCGGCUUAACCGGAGAAGUGCAUCGGAAACCGGGAGACUUGAGUGCAGAAGAGGACAGUGGAACUCCAUGUGUAGCGGUGAAAUGCGUAGAUAUAUGGAAGAACACCAGUGGCGAAAGCGGCUGUCUGGUCUGUAACUGACGCUGAGGCUCGAAAGCAUGGGUAGCGAACAGGAUUAGAUACCCUGGU
rnacentral:rRNA from 2 species